UUCCGGUUGAUCCUGCCAGAGGUCACUGCUAUCGGUGUCCGAUUAAGCCAUGCGAGUCGAGAGGUGUAAGACCUCGGCAGACUGCUCAGUAACACGUGGAUAACCUGCCCAAGGGUCCGGGAUAACCCCGGGAAACUGGGGAUAAUACCGGAUGGGUCACCAGUGCUGGAAUGCUUGGUGGUCGAAAGGUGACGCCUUUGGAUGGGUCUGCGGCGGAUUAGGUUGACGCCGGUGUAACGUACCGGCGUGCCUGUAAUCCGUACGGGUUGUGGGAGCAAGAGCCCGGAGAUGGAUUCUGAGACACGAAUCCAGGCCCUACGGGGCGCAGCAGGCGCGAAAACUCUACAAUGCAGGCAACUGCGAUAGGGGGACAUCGAGUGGCAUCCACCUUGGGUGUCUGUCCAACCGUCUAAAAAACGGUUGUUAGCAAGGGCCGGGCAAGACCGGUGCCAGCCGCCGCGGUAAUACCGGCGGCUCGAGUGGUGGCCGAUAUUAUUGAGUCUAAAGGG
rnacentral:rRNA from 1 species